GUCAGGAACUUGCAAGUGCUCCCAAGACUGUUAAUUUGAGCUGAAUUCUUGGUGAUGGAUGUUUAGCAGAGGGACUGAUGUGGUCUUGUUUUGCCUAUCAAGAAAAGAAACAUCCCUUCAUUCUCAUGUCUUUACUGCAAAGUUCAUUAUAUGUCUCCCAGUGAUGAGGCUCGAACAGGGGAAAAAUUGAGCGAGCUAAAAAAUUACAGCUGUUUCUCCCCACUCUUGCUAGCAACCCCUAGUGCUAGCUGGCAUCCCUCUUUUGCCAGUGAGCAAUAGUCACCUGGAUGUGCACCCCAAGAACAGAAGCACCUGCUCCAGUUCCAGGCAGCAGGCUCUGCUGUACAGAACAUGGAAAUAAUUUAUGUGCAUAUAAAUGAAGUUAUGCACUUUAAAAUCUACCAAAAACACACGAUGUGGAGCUUGUGCUGAGGAUGUGGCCUGAUGCUGGCACAAGGGUCUGCAGCUGACACUUGAACUAACAUAUAGCUCCUUCAAGCAAAGAUCUCCAACGAAAGAGUCCCUCCGGUCCCAUCCAGAUGGCAGGCUCAGGCUCUGCAGCUAUGCCCUCCCAAGGUGUUUCAGCCACAAGCUGUACAAGAUGUGUGGAACCAAC